rnacentral:lncRNA from 1 species
GGAAGAAGCAUGUGUGCUGGAAUGUGAAGAAGGCCAAACUUCUGGAAGGGCCUACAAUGGUGAAGAUGAUGAUGGUAUGACGAAUAUCGAAGAUGAAAUUGAUCUGGAAGCAGAAAGAAGAAAGAGAGGAGUAUCGCACAAUACUCUGUUGAAACAACUACAUCGAGAGGGAGUUCGUGAAGUGGAUUUGUUGGGGGAACCAUCUGGGC